UAUAUUCGAUCAGGUGACCAAUAGAACAUAUUGGUAAGUAGAUGUUCAGUGGAAAAGAACAAAAAGGUUAUCUUUUCGAAAAGCUUGUAUGAUUUCUGAAGCACUUUUGGGUUCUGAUCAUAUAUAGACCAUUGAUCCUACUGCUGGAAAGGCAUAAUCCUGGAAAGAAUUUUCUCUAUAAAUUUGAAGCAAAAUGGGUUCAGCAAAGGGAUUUCUGUUCUGUGAUAUCAGCAGCUUGCAAUGACUCAUGCAAUGAACAAUACCGAAAUUCUACACUUGAAACACCUGCUUCUUUCAUGUUUCAACCAUCAUUAGAAGGAGAAGGAAGCUUAUCUUUAAAGGCAGGAUGGAAAUUGGGUAGAGA
rnacentral:lncRNA from 1 species